AGCGAACGCUGGCGGUAGGCUUAACACAUGCAAGUCGAACGGCAGCACAGUAAGAGCUUGCUCUUACGGGUGGCGAGUGGCGGACGGGUGAGGAAUACAUCGGAAUCUACUUUUUCGUGGGGGAUAACGUAGGGAAACUUACGCUAAUACCGCAUACGACCUACGGGUGAAAGCAGGGGAUCUUCGGACCUUGCGCGAUUGAAUGAGCCGAUGUCGGAUUAGCUAGUUGGCGGGGUAAAGGCCCACCAAGGCGACGAUCCGUAGCUGGUCUGAGAGGAUGAUCGGCCACACUGGAGCUGAGACACGGUCCAGGCUCCUACGGGAGGCAGCAGUGGGGAAUAUUGGACAAUGGGCGCAAGCCUGAUCCAGCCAUACCGCGUGGGUGAAGAAGGCCUUCGGGUUGUAAAGCCCUUUUGUUGGGAAAGAAAAGCAGCAGGUUAAUACCCCGCUGUUCUGACGGUACCCAAAGAAUAAGCACCGGCUAACUUCGUG
rnacentral:rRNA from 1 species